rnacentral:rRNA from 1 species
UGAGGAAUUUUGCGCAAUGGGGGAAACCCUGACGCAGCGACGCCGCGUGGAGGAGGAAGGUCCUCGGAUCGUAAACUCCUGUCAAGAGGGACGAAAUCGGGUGGGAUGAAUAAGUCCGUCCGUCGACGGUACCUCUGGAGGAAGCCCCGGCUAACUCCGUGCCAGCAGCCGCGGUAAUACGGAGGGGGCCAGCGUUAUUCGGAAUUAUUGGGCGUAAAGGGCGCGUAGGCGGUUCGGCAAGUCAGUUGUGAAAGCCCCCGGCUCAACCGGGGAACUGCGACUGAAACUGCCGAACUUGAGUCCCGGAGAGGGUAGCGGAAUUCCCAGUGUAGCGGUGAAAUGCGUAGAUAUUGGGAGGAACACCUGUGGCGAAGGCGGCUACCUGGACGGGUACUGACGCUGAGGUGCGAAAGCGUGGGGAGCAAACAGGAUUAGAUACCCCUGUAGUCC